rnacentral:ncRNA from 1 species
AUAAAAUAAUUAUGUUUUUGGAAUUUAUUAUUAAUUUAUUUUACAUAUAAAUUUUAGUAUAUAAUUUUAAUUAUUUUAAAAAUAAUUAAUUUAAUUUUAGUAGUAAUUAAUAUUAAAAAUUUAAGAAAUUAAGAUUUAGUAAUAUAAAAAUUAAUAACUAAUUUUGUGCCAGCAGUUGCGGUUAAACAAAAGUUAAAUUAAAUUAUUUCAGUAUAUAAUAAAUAAUUAAAUUGUUAAAAUAAAUGUUAGAUUAUUAAGUGAAAUUUUAAUUUAAUUAAAUUUUAUUUUAAAAUUAUGAUUUAAUAAAUUUUGAUAUAAACUAGGAUUAGAUACCCUAUUAUUAAAAAUUUAAUUUAUAAUACUAAAAUAGUAAAUAAUAAUUUAUUGAAACUUAAAUAACAUGGCGGUAUUUUAGUUCAUUUAGAGGAAUCUGUCUAAUAAUUGAUAAUCCACGAAUAAAUUUACUUAGUUUAUAAUUUUGUAUAUCAUUGUUAAAAAAAUAUUUUUAAGGAAAAAUAAUAUUUAAUAUUUAAAAUUAAAAGUUAAAUCAGAUCAAGAUGCAGAAUAUAAUUAAGAAUAUGAUGGAUUACAAUAAUUAUAAUUAAAUGAAUAAUUUUUUUUUUGUAAUAAAAAUUUGAAGGUGGAUUUAAAUGUAAUUUUAAUUAAUUUAUUAAAAUGAUUAAAAAUUAAAAUAUGUACAUAUUGCCCGUCACUUUCAUUUAAAAAUUGAAAUAAGUCGUAACAAAGUAGAGGUACUGGAAAGUGUUUCUAGAAAGA